rnacentral:rRNA from 1 species
GACGAACGCUGGCGGCGUGCUUAACACAUGCAAGUCGAACGGUGAUGACAGGGCUUGCCUUGUCUGAUCAGUGGCGAACGGGUGAGUAACACGUGAGCAACCUGCCCCAGACUCUGGGAUAACCCCGGGAAACCGGAGCUAAUACCGGAUAUGACACGGAGAGGCAUCUCUACCGUGUGGAAAGUUUUUCGGUCUGGGAUGGGCUCGCGGCCUAUCAGCGUGUUGGUGAGGUAGUGGCUCACCAAGGCGACGACGGGUAGCCGGCCGGAGAGGGCGAGCGGCCACACUUGGCAUGAGACAGGGCCCAGACUCCUACGGGAGGCAGCAGUGGGGAAUAUUGCACAAUGGGCGAAAGCCUGAUGCAGCGACGCCGCGUGAGGGAUUACGGCCUUCGGGUUGUAAACCUCUUUCAGCAGGGAAGAAGCGCAAGUGACGGUACCUGCAGGAGAAGCACCGGCUAACUACGUGCCAGCAGCCGCCGCAGUAA